AUACAAUGAAUGUAAUUGAUCAUAUUAUGUAGAAAAUAUUAACUAUAAAAUUGUUAGUAUUGAUGCCGAUAGUUAAUUUAUUUCAUCACUUCAGCGUCACAGUUGAUGCUCCCAACCUACACGCAUCAAUCUUGCUUUGUGUCCCAGCCUAACCAACAAGAAAUCACUCACUUAAUUACAUUUCAUUGCACACCGCCUUAUAUGGUAACAAUCAUCUUAUACACAGAAUACUACGCCAGUUUAAGAAAUUAGUUUAGUUUUUAGGCUCCCAUCUAAACCUUUUAUUUGUAUCUUACAUCUUACACCUUAUUAUUAUAUAUAUAACCUGUAAUUAUAUUUGUCAAAUACAUUAUGGCAAAAAAUAGCAAAAAUAAUUAUAUUCUUAGGGUCUUGGUCACUCAUCAUAACUAUUUACUUCUUCAUAAGAUCCUACAAACUCACUCUGUUCCUGACAACACAUUAAAACCUACCAAUAGUUGCAGGAUACUACUAUACUAUAUGGUUGUGAAAUAUGAACUACCAAUGAACAAGACAGAAGGAAGUUGGAAGCCAUAGAAAUGUGGAUGUGGAGAAAAUUGCUGAAAGUCAGUUGGACAGAAAUGAAAAAUAACAUAGAUGUAUUAAACCAAGUAGGGACAAAAAAAAUUAUGUAUAACAUCAUAAAGGAAAGAAGUAGAAGAAUUUUCGGUAACCUGCUGAGGCAUACUUCGUUUAUGACAAAUAUAUUUGAAAGUCAAAUAAAUGGACCCAAAGGGAGAGGCAGACAGGAAGGUAUGUAUUGGAGAAAUGAUAAGACAAACUGACUGCAACAGAUAUGUGGACAUGAAAAGACUGGCUAUUAACACAGAGGAAUAGAGAACCAGAUUUGCAACGACAAGGUGAGCAUCAUCUAAAAAGUUUAAAAAAAAAAUGCAAAAUACAUCAACUACGGAAGCCUUAUUCAUCAAUUUUCAAUAUAUUGCAUGAUAAUAAUAAGAAUAAUAAGAAUUUUAUGCGGACAUGCGGGGACAUGAAUACAUGAUCGGUCGGCCAGGAAGAAUAUGCAAAAUGGCUAAAACACUGAGAUUCAACACUACCUCUCCCUAACAUAAGGUUCCAUAAUCAUUUAAAUACUGAACACUAUAGGACCGUAUUAGCACAUGGGUAAUAAAACACUGUGCCUAGAGCCUACGAUAGUGUUAAUCCGGGCCUGGCCGUAUCUGCCGAGCGUAUUCCGCCGCGGAUAUGUGUUCAAUAUCUAAAAAAAAAGGUAAACCGCAUAAUUAUUAACUAUUGUAUUAAUAAUAUAAAUAUUGCAUUAUCGCAUUCGAAUAGUACAAAUUAAUAAUAGACGCUCAUCGAUCGAUCAUUUGCAGUAGUCAGUUCGUAAGACUAUAGGUCUAUCGUUUACAUUAUGCCCGUAUGCCGAUAAUUACACCAGCGUGCAGCGCUAAUAAUUAAUAAAAUCACAAGUUUAUACUUUUGGGGGACGAGUAUUUUUGUGUUUACUUUAUUGAUAACUUUUAAGUAUGUAGUAAAAACUACAUGACAUGAUACGUCAUACACAAGUUCAUCAAAUACAUUAAAAACAAUGUCCCAGAUGUUUAUAAAAAAAAUAAAACGAUUUACCAGAUGUUGAUAAAAAAAUAAAACGAUUUUUUAAAUUAAAAUUUAUAAAUGUUGUUAUUAGCUAUCAGCCGUUGGUAGGAGUAAAGGAAUUAUGACAUGGUGGCUAAAUUAGUCCCCUUCUACUUACGCGUAUGCCUACUUAUAUAGUUAUAUGGAGUAGAGCGACUUCAAAGGUUUUUUUAUUCAAACAGAAAUACUAAUUGAACAAUUUUAGUUCGUACUCAACAAAUUAUUUAUUGACCAUUACUGUGGUCAGUGAUCUAUUCAAUGACGAUUGACGAGUGCACUCAAAAUCUACUAUGCAGCAGAGCUAGUUCUUAAUUUUUUUUGUUUCUUGUAAUCACUAAUGGCAGUGCCGUAGCAGUUAAUUGUUUUUCUUUAGUUUUUGUAGAACAAGAAUACGUAUUAUUUGUUACUCAAUGACACAGUUGUUCAUAAAUGUUGCUGCCUUGAAACAGUACUACUACUGUUUUGAAAAUGUCACCCUAGGCGUCAGCAUAAAUGUCACAUACCCCUUGAACCGAGCCUGUAAACUGAGUAAUUGAAUGGGUUUGGGAAUUGGGUACAGUAAGCGACUUCGUAGGAUAUACCUAAUAUUGUAUUGAUGCGAAACGAUAUGGGUUUGGAGUGUUUGGACGCCAAUGCAAGUACCUAUCAUGUUUUUAAAUUAAUUUUAUUCCAUUAGUCGACAUUCGACUGUAAUCAAUAGUACGCUGUAUGAAAUAAUUAAUGCACUUCCUGAGAAUAUUAUUAUUGACUUUCGUAGCUCAAAAUCCCGAGGGACCUUCCCCUAAUUACUUCGUUAUUUCUAUCAUAAAUAAUAUUAUAGUCUUACUGCUUCAAACCUGAUAAUGGCCAAGUCUAUAAUUACUACCUUUUCCACAGUAUACUCAUUUUUUAAUUUUUUACUAAAUUGUGUGAAAAGGAAAUAUUAUUUAUUAUCUAUGUAAC